rnacentral:tRNA from 1 species
CGGGCUGUAGUAUAGUGGCAGUAUAUCUGCUUUGGGAGCAGAAGGUCUGAGUUCGAUUCUCAGCAGCCCGA